AGGCGGAAAACUUAGGAAGAGCUGGAUGCCUCCCACGGAGAGCGUCCCUUCCAAGCGGCCCCGGAGUGGAGUGGAGUGGAGUGGAUAGGGGUAGACUUUUCACACGGGGACAAAUUAUUACAGGAUAUCUGCGCCCCCUGUUCCGAGUCACUCGGGGCCAUCGGUUACUUCAGCAGGUUCUCUGCAUCACGGACCCUUUUGAGGCUCAGGAAUUUACCAUGGAAAUUAUUGGCCAUAAUUGUUGGUGACACUAUCAAACUCAUAGUCACUCUAUAACGAUGACUCUGCAGAGGGCCCCCACCAGCAAGAAGACCCUCACCAGAUAUAGCCUUCAACCUUGGACUUCCCAGCCUCCAGAGCUGUACAAAAUGGAGCCUUGCUCUGUCACCCAGGCUGGUGUGCAAUGGCACAAUCUCGACUCACUGCAACCUCCAUCUCCAAGGUUCAAGUUAUUCUCCUGCCUCAACCUCCUGAGUAGCUGGAGUUCAAUGGCACAAUCUCGACUCACUGCAACCUCCAUCUCCAAGCCGCCGCCGCCCGACCGCCGGGAGGAUGGA
rnacentral:lncRNA from 10 species